UGGAGAUUCUGAAAAUGUUCGAGGCGCGGUUUGUUUAAGGAUUGUACAAGAAUGACUGGAGAUUAGUUUAGCUAGAUACCCCAAAACAUUUGAUCUGGAUUAUCGAGAAGGAGUACUGACCACAUAUGCAGAAUGUCUUUAAUGUGUAAUCGGGACACAAGUGUCAAGGCAUGUCUCCUUGUCACUAUGUGCUCUAACCUUGUUUUGUACAACUUGCUCACGUCCUAUAUUCGCCAGAUGACCCGAGGACCUCGGUAUUUUCCUACAACUCUUGUGUUUCUUGCAGAACUUGUCAAACUCGGUUUUUCUGUGAUCAUUUUACUCCACUCUUGUGCAUGGCGUAUACGAAGGUUGAAAGUACUACUAAAGAAAGAAGUACUGAAUAAACCAAAAGAAUUCAUGAAACUAGCAAUACCAGCUGGGCUUUAUGCUCUUUAGAAUAAUCUAGUCCAGGUUGCUUUAUCUAACCUAGAUCCUGCAACCUAUCAGGUUACAAGUCACCUAAAGCUGUUAACAACUGUUGUCUUCAUGUGUGUUAUUCUUCGUCGGCAGUUUCUGUGGAUCCAGUGGUGUGCCAUCUUUCUUUUGUUCUUUGGUGUUGUUCUCGUUCAGUUACAUACAGGGAUGUUUGCAGAUUCAAACAGUGGACACUACUUAGUGGGUUUAAUAUCUGUCAUAAUCAUUUGUAUUUGUGCUGGAUUUUCUGGUAUGAAGAUUUUAGUUGCACUUAAGUUUAUGCUAAGUGAUGUAAUUGAUAGUAUUUUGACAUGCAAUUUAACGAUUUACCCUGGCUUGUGUAAAACCGACAAGUAAUAUCUAAUUAACAUAUAAGUUAAAAUUUUUUUAAAGAUAGUUUAUGGUUUAAAACAAUGUAAAUAUUCUUGAAAGCAUGACUACGAAGUGCAAUGUGCUAAGAAAUUUACCAGCUGUUUACUUCAUUUAAAAAAAAAAAUUGAGCAACUGGGUAAAAUCAUAGUAAGUGUACUUUAUUCAAAAUAUGUUGGUUUUAAAAGAACUUAUAGUUUCAAAUUUUUUUCCUUUUUUUAAUUACUUCGAUCUCCAUAACAAGUGAAAUGGUCAUCACGUGUGUUAAUUUGACUCUUUUUGAAACUGUUAGGUGUAAAAUAAUUGAACCAAUUCUCCUGAAAAAAAUAAAAGAAUAAGACUUUAGAGAAAAACAUUUAGUAGUUGUUCAUGUUUUUUAAUUUGUGAAUUGAUUAUAUUAACACCAGCUCUAGAAAUUUAUACGGUUAAGAUAUGGGUGCAUUAUAGGAGUGGCAGUCAAUCUCUUAGCUCGGAUGGUGGGUGGUAAGGUGCUGCUGACUGGGUAAAUGUUAAUAACCUUUUUAGUAUGGUUUUCUUCUGCUCUUCUUACACUUCUCAAGAUCUUCAUCCUCUGAUAAAAAAUUUUUUAGGGGUGGGUGGGUGAGAUGGUUUUCUACUGGUGGGCAGUUCAGACUCCAGUUGUCCCAAGAGGCUCAAAUUGCUAUUCAGAAUUAUAUAAAAAAAAAAAAGAUAAUACUGGAAAGUCUUGUUUGGGAAUCAACCCAUCAAAAAUGACUCCCCAUCAAUGUUAAAACAAAAAUAUGACUCUUGAAAAGCAGGCUUCAGAGCAUUACUGCACAAGCAGAAAGAAUUAUCAGAGGCUGUGUAUGAACUCAUACAUAUUCUGUAGAAAGAGAAAUAAUUACACCAUUUCUUUUUUGUUUUUGAUAAAAGAGUCAGCACAAGGGAUCACAUAUAAAGUG